UCCAGGCAGCUGUCCUAGCGCCACCAGGUACUGCUGGGAAAACACCCUCAGAGCUUCCUUCCAUGAUUGAGGACAUGGGCUGGUCUCUGCCAGCCCACUCCUUUCUUGCCUCCCUCCAUCUGGCCACUCUGGCACAGGCUUUCAACUCUUCCUGCUUCUGAAAAUGGUCUGUCUGAUGUUCUAGGCCUGUAGCCGAAGUCGGAUGCCCCAGCGUUGCCCAGAAACAAACACUGGGUGACUGUCCAGGCUUGCUUGCACUUCCUGCUCACUCGGGAAUCUAUUGACUUUUGAGAAAUUGCACACUACAUGGGAUAGAUAAUGAGAAUGAGAAGACAUCAGACAAAAAUCAUAUCUGACUGGGUAAUUAGAGAUAAUUCUAGAAGCUGAAAACGUCCGUCUCCUCAAAUGCAGGUACAAUGUGCUAAAAAAAAAAUAGGGAGACCAUAAUUGACAAAGGGGGGUGAUGCUCCUGGUUGGGGAGCUCAGGAACAACCAGUCUAACUAACGAUGCCCGGCUGCUCUUCCACGGACUCUUCUGCUACCUAAGCCCAGAGAGAAGCCAUCCCAUCUGGCUCAUGGCUCAUGCCUACCCCCUCUGUAGGCAGAAGUGAUGAAUCACAAACCAACUUCAGCAUCCUUCUCAACUCCUCUGCAACAGCAGCCGACGGGAACGGGGAAAAGGGGCAUCCAACCCCAACCCUUUACCUCAGUCAGCUUCCUGGGAAGUCCUGUGAUGUAGGAAACCUGCAUAGCAUCGAGCCCCAAAGGACCUGAGACAGAAUGGAUAAAGUGAAAGGCUAUUCUCCUGAGGACUUGAAACCAUGCUUGAUGAUCCCCCAAACUCUCGGCCACGGUUCUUCCCUGAGUCUGUCUAAAAGACAAAGAACAGUAGUGUGCUCUAAAGCAAACUUCUUAAAAAUUCCUGUCACAGCCUGAAAAGUUGUAUAUGAUCAUUAACAUAUAAAGGUUACAGGAAGCAUACACUGAUAAUAAAGCACAGAAAUCAAAGCAA